GUAGGUGGCAAGCGUUGUCCGGAAUUAUUGGGCGUAAAGCGCGCGCAGGCGGUCCUUUAAGUCUGAUGUGAAAGCCCGCGGCUCAACCGUGGAGGGUCAUUGGAAACUGGGGGACUUGAGUACAGAAGAGGAAAGCGGAAUUCCAAGUGUAGCGGUGAAAUGCGUAGAGAUUUGGAGGAACACCAGUGGCGAAGGCGGCUUUCUGGUCUGUAACUGACGCUGAGGCGCGAAAGCGUGGGGAGCAAACAGGAUUAGAUACCCUGGUAGUCCACGCCGUAAACGAUGAGUGCUAAGUGUUAGGGGGUUUCCCGCCCCCCUUAGUGCUGCAGCUAACGCAUUAAGCACUCCGCCUGGGGAGUACGGCCGCAAGGCUG
rnacentral:rRNA from 1 species